rnacentral:misc_RNA from 1 species
GAUGAAGAACGCAGCGAAAUGCGAUAAGUAGUGUGAAUUGCAGAAUUCAGUGAAUCAUCGAAUCUUUGAACGCACAUUGCGCCCCUUGGUAUUCCAUGGGGCAUGCCUGUUCGAGCGUCAUUUGUACCUUCAAGCUCUGCUUGGUGUUGGGUGUUUGUCCUUGCUCUAGUGGCGGGACUCGCCUUAAAGUAAUUGGCAGCCAGUGUUUUGGUUUUGAAGCGCAGCACAAGUCGCGAUUCAAGUCUAUACGCUAGUUUCCACAAGUCUUUUAUCACUUUUGACCUCGGAUCAGGUAGGGAUACCCGCUGAACUUAAGCAUAUCAAUAAGCGAGGA